AGAAAAAUGAAUUUUACAACUUCUUUUUAGUGAAAACUGUGCUAAAAAUAAUAUUUGAAUGCUUUUGGCACACAAAUUCUAUGGUUUUUAUGAAAAAUUUCGCUAAAAACAGAAAAAAUCGCGUGAAAGUAUAAGCGCGCCCUAGAACUGUAAUGCGAACGUAGCCACAUUUGAAUUAUGUCAAGUUUUGACAGAUUAACAGCGAGGUGAGUAUUUUGACAACUAUACGAAAAUGUAAACAAAACAAAAUUCAGUAUCAAUAAUGCAAAUGAGGGUAAAACAAAAAUAUUAAUUUAUUGAAAUAAAAAUAUAAAAUGUAUUAAAUGAAUUCAAUUUAAUCUUCAGAUAAAGAAGAAACCAAGGAUAACGUUGAAACAAGAAAAGUGGAAGCCCCGAGUAGGAAACCAGCAACGCAGACAUAUUUAUUCUGGAGUGAAUAGGUACAAAUUGAAGACAAAAUUACAUUUCUCAACAAGACUUUGUUCCUGUUUAUUCCGAAGUAAAAAGAACUCUGGUGGGUCCAGUGCUGGAUCAAACCUAGAUGUUAACCGCGAAUACAGUGCUAUUAACAUGAGCCACGAAGACCGGGGUAAUAUUAGCAAAAUGGAUUGAACAAUUUAAGAAUCUAAUGUGACGAGAUUUUGAAACCGAAACAGGGGAUUGUCUUGAAGUGAGUAAAAAGGAACAGGAUAAAAUCGAUCUCGAAGAUGCCAAGAAGAAGGAGUAAGAAGCUAACAAGUUGGAUUUUAAAAAAGACAACUACUAUAUCAAGAACAGCUACAUACACCACCAGAAGUUGUUCCACAAUAUCCAAUAUCCAAAACAUCAGAAUAAUCAAGAACUAACCGGUCGUAAGUUCACGAAAAAAUUUGCGAAGCUUAAAGCAUGAUGAAAUCAAACCAAUUUGGCGAGAAUUCAUUUUAUUUCACAAAUUAUUCGAAAACCAAUAAAUAUUUAAAUUAAAAAUAUACUAUUUAUACAAAAUUUGACAAUUAGUAUCAAAAUAAUGGAAAUUUCAAACGAGAACUUGUAAAUACUCGGUGUGAACACUUUAUGAGUUUUCAAAAACUUUUCGCCGAAAACCGGGUUUUCAGUUUGGUGUGGAAUGGCUAUUAGAUUUAAUUUCACUCGAUUUGGGAACCUAGCUGUAAUAUACAUUUUAAAACCUAUAAUUUAUAAUGGAAUUGAAUUUUAAAAACAAAAAAUAUACUCAAUUACAAUCAAUUUUAAAAAAUUACAACUUCAUUUAAAAACUAGAUACGCAACGCAUGGAUGAGAUUCGAAGAUAUCGUCGAACCAAGUGAACGGUAUAUCGACUUAUAAGCUUCGUUUUGAUUUGUAGCUGAAAAAACAUCAAUUAGUGCUUUUGUUUUGUUGUUAAUGUGAAACUUAUUGUGAAGUAGACUUGCCAUAAUGAAACUUCUGGUCAAUAAAAUUGUAUUAAUUAAAGUGUUGUAAUUUUAUCAUUUCUGGAAUAUGAU